CGCUUUACCUUCCACCAUAUAAAUUUUUUGACCGAUUCAGAUAGCCUCCUUGUCUUUGCCAAAUUUCUCACGUUAAGACUGCUCGUGGAUUGAUUAGCAAUUUGUUGUCAUUGCUUUUGGAAGGUACCUAGUCAUUGCGUGGAGCAAUUGCAUAAGACAGUUAAAGUGCCACUUGCACGCCAAGUUUCCAGAGGGUACAUCCUAUAAUCCGUAUAUUGUGCAAUCUCUCACGUAAACACGUGCGGCGGUUGAUCAGCGCUGACGAGUGCAAGCGCGAGCUGCCCAAGCUGCGAUCGAUGUCGGCAGACGAAACCGUCAACUGUCAAUAGGACGGUGAAUCAACGGAGCGGUGCGCAGUGUAAGUCGAAUCAGAAGCGACAGCACAUUGCCGUUGCGUGGUUGACGCAUCGAGGAGCAAAUCUGAAAUGGAGCCUCCAUACAUAUCCGAAAUCAUACAUAUGAAAGACGUCACUGCAAAAUACAGAAUGCACUAGGAUAAGAAGAAUGAAAUCAUGUGAAAUGAUCGAGCAGCUAUAGCUAAUUAGAGCACGAUACAAGAACUGCAUCGGCCGUGACUUUAAAUUCGGUGAUCUUGCUGCCAGCCUGCCUCUCGGCUCAGCUAUAGGAAAUGGAAAC